UAAGGAAUAUUGCUCAAUGGGAGAAAUCCUGAAGCAGCAACGCCGCGUGGAGGAUGAAGGGUCUAUGACUUGUAAACUCCUGUAAAGAAGGAAAAAAUUCCCAUUAGCUGGGAGAUGAUGGUACUUCUGGAGUAAGCCCCGGCUAACUACGUGCCAGCAGCCGCGGUAAUACGUAGGGGGCAAGCGUUGUCCGGAUUUACUGGGUGUAAAGGGUGCUCAGGCGGAUUUGUAAGUCAGAGGUGAAAUCUUACAGCUUAACUGUGAAACUGCCUUUGAUACUGCAAGCCUAGAGUAUGGAAGAGAGUGAUGGAAUAUCUGGUGUAGCAGUGAAAUGCGUAGAUAUCAGAUAGAACACCAAUGGCGAAGGCAGUCACUUGGUCCAUUACUGACGCUAAAGCACGAAAGCGUGGGUAGCAAACA
rnacentral:rRNA from 1 species